AAAAUAAAUGAAGUCAUGGGGAUGUCAUGUACAGCAUGGUGACUACAGUUGAUAAUACUCUAUUGCAUAUUUGAAAGUUGCUUAGAGAAAAUCUUAAAAUUACUCAUUACAAGAAAAAGUGAUGUAACUAUGUGUGUUGAUGGUUAACUAGAUUUACUGUGGUUAUCAUUUUGCAAUAUAUAAAAAUAUGGAAUUAUUAUGUUGUACACCUGAAAUGAAUAUAAUGCUCUAUGUUAAUGACCUCUCAAAUUUAAAAAAACCCUAGAAAUAGAAAUUUUCUUAAUAUAACAAAUGUCAUAAAUGAUAAGCCCACAGCUAACAUCAUACUCAAAAGCAAAAUAUCUGGAAACUCUAGGAUCAGGAACAAGGCAAAGAUGCCCACUCUCACCAUUUCUAGGCAAGCUAAGACUGGUUCUUAAAGAGUCACAAUAUUUUUCUCCGUGAAUCAGCCUCUCCUUCCAUUCUUAUUAGCACCUGUUUGGGCUUCUAACACAGUGGUUCUCAAGGUGUGGUUUAAUGAUUAGCAGGAUUGGUUUUACCUGGGAACUUGUUAGAAAUGCAAAUUCUUAUGCUCCCCCCAGGUCAACUGAAUCAAGAACACUAGCUAGGGGGUGUCAUCAAUUGUAUUUAACGAGCCCUUCAGGUGAAAUGGUUUCACACUGAAGUAUAAGAACCGUCUUAGCAUUAGUCAACAGAGUACAGCCAGCCUGCAAAGGGAGGAGCUUUUCCGUGGUAGGCUUUACGAAGUGGCAGCCUACAAGGUGACUACUUCUAGUAUUUUUUUUGUAAAUGAAAGGAAGGGGAAAAGGAUGUAGAAACAAAGAGUAGUGAAGUACUGGAUCCAGUAAUUAAAUUAGCCACACUGGCAGUAGCAGGUCAGAUUCCUGAGGACAAAACCCCAGAAUUGCUUGGUGAUUCAGUCAUCUGCGGAGCAUGGAUUGGUGUUUGGUGCAUGUUCAGGUCUCUUGCUGUACAGCAGAGGGAAAACCAGCAUGAAUACUGUCUCAGGGAGCAGAUUUGAGGACAGACAACCGAGAAGGGGCUCCUCCAGGUGUGGGCCAUUUUCUUCUCUGGAGUUCAUCAACAAAACGCAUCACGUUCCUCUGGUGUGAAAUUCACGAAGUAGGCUUCAUGCUCCGUGUGGAGCCCAACACAGAGCCAGAACCUAUGACCCCCCCAGACCAAGACUUGAGUUAAAAGCAAGAGUCGGAGGCCCAACCAACUGAGCCACCCAGGUGACCUGGUAUGAUGAAACUUUAAAAAUAUUAAUUACUUGAACAUGUGCAUGUUAUUGUUUCAUAGUUUUAAUUCACAUUUCCUUAAUUAAUGCUUCUGAAUAUUUUUUUUUCAUUUAGAUGUUGGUGAUUCUGUAUCUACUUUGGUGUAUUAGGGGUUUAAAUAUUCAAUUCAGUAUUCGGAGUUCUUUUAUAGUCUGUAUAGAAAUCCUUUAUCUCAUACGUGGCUUGGAAAUGAUUUUUACUGUCGGUGUCUUGUUUUUAAUUCUUGGAGAAGUGGUUUUUUUUUAAGUGCAGGCAUUGUGAAUGUUGACAAAGUUCAGUUUAUAAAUUGGGCUGAUUUAUUUAUUAUUUUUGCUAUUAAUGGGUCAUAGUUUGCUGCUGCUCUACCUGCCUAGGGAUUUUGUAAUUGGAUGCCUUUGUGGAUUUUGCCUUCGUGGGUGCUGGAUUCUAAGGUGUUCCCAUAAAUAUUUUGGUGCUCUGUUAUGAGAUGGAGUCAAAUUACUUGGAAGCUUUUGAUUCUUUGGGGUCUUUCUUGUAAAUUGUGUUAGAUUGAGCUAGGACAGUGGUUUAUUUAGGGACAAUUUAAUCCUUGUUCUGAGGCAAACCUCUAUUGAAUGCUGGACGUGUGCCUCUUGAAUUAGGUUUUCUGCACAAAAGAGGUUUCUUCCUUUAAAUACAUUGAGGUGACUCCUUCCUGCGUGUAAGGUAAUUUCCUCACAUAUAUGUGAGAUGAUUCUCUGUAGGCUAGUGUCUCUGCCCUUUAUGAUUAGCUACCCAAUUAAUUUUAGCUGCCUUGGUUUCUCUAGACUUCGAGAUCCAUUUGGUUAACUGAAUGAGAUGACUGGGCUCUGCUUUUCCUCUAUAUUGUGGUUUUCUCUUCACGAUACUGGGACUAUGAUCUGUUCUCUGGGCAGUAAAGUGGGACAAUAAAAAGGGAUUAUUUCUUUUGUUUCUCAUUCCAGGCAAAGGGUGACUUCGAUAAAGUUUACUCUUUGCUUCCUAGAGCAGUUGACCUAUUGAAUUUCUAAUACUAAAAACAAGAGGAAUUGAAGGUAAAGAAGUAAUACAUAUGAUUUCAUACUUAUGUGCUAUUGUGUUUAAUUGAUGGAAAAGUUUAACAAAGUAUACGGUAAUCAUAAGUUUUUUAUAUAAAAAACAAAAUGGCUGGGGCUUCUGGGAGGCUGAGUUGGUUAAGCAUCUGACUCUUGAUCUUGAUUCAGGUCAUGUUAUCAUGGUUCAUGAUUUCAAG